rnacentral:lncRNA from 1 species
GCGCUUCUUGCUGCCAACAUGUGAAGAAAGACGUGUUUGCUUCCCCUUCCACCAUGAUUGUAAGUUUCCUGAGUCCUCUCCAGCACAGUGGAACUGUGAGUCAAUUAAACCUCUUUCCUUUAUAAAUUACCCAGUCUUAGGUAUGUCCUUAUAGCAGCAUGAGAACAGACUAAUACAUUAUCUUUCUGAAAAUCUAAGACCUCUGAAUUCAAAAUAAAGCUAUCUCUAUGAACUUCAGUUAAGGAGUUGAGGGCUGAAACAACAUCUGUUCAAAGUGCUUAUGUGGUACAUGUCAAGAAAUUGUUGUUAUUAAUCUUUUGUACAUUAUUUUGUUUACCACUUGUGGUAAUUAGUUAUUCAGCCUCAACUGCAGAUGUGGGCAUCGGAGCUCAGACUACUAAAAAAACUUAUCCUAAGAAUCAAUUCUUAGUUCAAAGUAUACGUUCUAUACCUGUAACUUUUAAUUUGAAAAAUGUCAUUAAGAGGCACUAUAUUAAACCUAAUUUUAGACAUAAAUGUAUUUCUUUUCUCUUUCCCUGUACUGUUAGUCAUUACCUGUAUAAGUAAAGAUUGUUUUUAGCUGAAGCUACUAAGGGUCUGAAUCCAGUAGAGGGUUAUUUAAAAACAAAAGCUAGAUCCCAAGACUUAGAACUAGAAAGUGGUGUGAUGGGAAUAUGGCUUUCUGGGAAGGGGAGGGGAAGACUCUGAUCUGUAGUGUUUGCCAGUUUCUGUGGUGUAAAUGCCCUCUCCAUGCCAAUUUCAAACUGCCAGGUUUUUGGAAGCAGCUCACAAAAUUCCUUGAAAUUAAUGUAACAAGUGGCUCUUAACAAGUCAAUAUGAGGUCGUUCCAGUCCACUGCUGGAACUAGGUCAUUUUUCAAAAGUCUAAGAUGACUGCAGGUAGGGCCUUUUUUUUUUUUUUUUUUUUUUUUUUGAGACGGAGUCUCGCUCUGUCACCCAGGCUGGAGUGCAGUGGCGCGAUCUAGACUCACUGCAAGCUCCCCUCCCGGGUUCACGCCAUUCUCCCACCUCAGCCUCCCAAGUAGCUGGGACUACAGGUGCCCGCCACCAGGCCGGCUAAUUUUUUGUAUUUUUAGUAGAGACGGGGUUUCACCGUGUUAGUAGGAUGGUCUCGAUCUCCUGACCUCGUGAUCCGCCCGUCUGAGCCUCCCAAAGUGCUGAGAUUACAGGCGUGAGCCACCGCGCCCGGCCAGGCCUUUCUCUCUUGAAAGCAUCUAGAGUACCCAAGGUAGAUUUUGCUUCAGUUCCUGUGUGUCUAUGAAAAAUUCCUGUGGGGAAAUGGAGGCUGCCCUGCAACUCAACAACCAUGAAAUAGGGACCUACUCUAUAUCAGGCACUGGGAAAAACACUGAGGUUAUAAAAAGAAAUCAAUUGCAUGGUCCUGACUCUUGAGAUUCUUUCAUUCUUGUAGGUAAAAUCAACAAGGAAGGCGAUGAGCACAGCAGUGUGAAGGUGAGGCUUUUUGAUCAGCAUUUGCUUACCUGGUUUCUGCUUGCUCUUUUUCUAUUAACCACACAAGAUUACUUGGCUUCUCAGGAAUUAUUCAAAUAGACCCGUUUGGAAGCCUAGAACUGUCUAGAACUUGUUUGAUGACCAGCAGGGAGAUUGUUUUCGGCUUUCAUGCUCACUUUUAAUUUUCCAGUUUAUGUCUUUGGAUAGAAUUGCAUUCCUCUGUAUUCCCCCUGGGGCAUUAGGAUUUAGUAACUCUCCAGGAGAAAAACAGGGAAGCUGCUACCAUCAGGCGAGUUCUCUUAUUAAUAGUAUGGGCCCUAUAACUUCUGGAUGAAUUACAAUCUCUUCCCUGGCCCCUGGGGAAACUUCGCACAUUGUAAGAGCAAGACCAAGAAUACUUACACAUUGCCCUUCUUUUCCUCCCUUCAUUUAUUCAGUGAGAGUUUAUUUAGUACCUAUCAUGUGCUAAACACCUAGGCUUUUAAGACACAAAGAUAAAGAUUACUGUGUCUGCUUCUCAAGGAAGACAAGUAAGUAAAUAAUUGCAAAAGCAAUGAAAAGUGCCUUAAUGGAGAUAUUGCCCAAGUUAGAGCACAGAAAUGUAGUGCUUAGGGGACACUGAAGUCUUCACCAAAAAGACAAUACUUAACCCUAGAUUUUGAAUAAAGAGAUGUUGUCCUUCAGAUAGACAAUAGUAGGUAUAGCAUAGACAGAUAGGACAUUCCAUGAAGAAGAGCAAUGGAGGCACAAAAGCUCAGAGAACUGAGGUCCUGGGUAAACAGACUGGUAUAAGAACUGGAAAACAAUGUUUUAUGUUUCAAAAGUCUCUAUAUUAUAUACAUACUGCUAAGAGCUGAUGAAUGUUGAACAUAUUUGUACCUUCAGUGUCUGGCAUGCUGCCUGGCAUGGAAUAUUCAAUCAUUAUUGAAUAGAAUAAAUGAUUAUGAAAAGUAGAAAUGUAGUUCUGUGUUCCAACAAAUUGAGGAAACUGUGAAAGGUAAAUAGAUUAUGUAAAAUCAGCCAGUCUCAGACAGAAACACUGGAUACUUCUGAUAGGAAGCAGUAUUCGAUUAUGAGAUAACUGUGUGCCUGGAGUCUGAAAAUUAUAGUUUAGAUUCUCACACUCUUUAUUUGAGCAGAAAUUGUUCUGUUUCUUGGGAAGAUCUGAUGAAUUUAUAGAAAACUUUGUGAUCUUCUUGGAAAAAGAAAACAAAUCUAAAUAACAAAAAAUUAUUAUGCUAAUGUGUGCUAAUUUUGGAAAAGUGACUGAAACUUGGAUAAAAAUACAUAAGAGUUUCCUGGGAUAAUCCAGUUUAUGGCUGUUAUCUGUUCUGGCAUAAGCAUUAGUAUUACCACAAUUCUCUCUCAGAAAUGUCACCUUUGGAUUAAAUUUCUUGCUGAAAUUCCAAUUAAUGGAACAUUUUUAAAAAUUCAGUAUGCACAGAUAAAGGUAGAAGGAUGCUUUUUGGAGUGUUGCUUGUAAUACUGAAAACAAGAAAUGACAAAUGUUCAACAAUGAAGAAUUAGCUAAAUUAAUAAUGGACAUCCUUAUAUGUGAAUGUUGGAUCAUCAUUUAAAAUAAUGGUUUAAGGCUGGGCGCGGUGGCUUACGCCUAUAAUCCCAGCACUUUGGGAAGCCACGGCGGGUGGAUCACUUGAGCUCAGGAGUUUUGAGACCAGCCUGGCCAACAUGGUGAAACUCCCACUCUACUAAAAAUACAAAACUGAGCCAUGUGUGAUGGUGCAAGCUUGUAACCCAGCUUCUUGGGAAGCUGAAGCAGGAGAAUCGCUUGAGCCCAGGAGGCACAGGUUGCAGUGAGCCAAGAUGGUGCCACUGCACUCCAGCCUGGGCGACAAAGCGAGACCCUGUCUCAAAAAACUAAAAUAAAAUAAUAUAAAAUAGUGAUUUAGAUCUAUAUAUACCUACAGGGAAAGACACACAUUAUAUUUUGUUAAACAGCAAGAAAGACAGGUUUCAUGAUAAUAUGUUUUAUUAUUAUUUCAUUCUUCUAAAAGAGAGCGAGGGUCAGGGAGAGGGAGGUGAAGAGAGAAAUGGGGAUGGGGAAGAGAGAGAGUGAGACUUGUGGACAGUCACAGCUAUGUUUAAAUCUUCGUUCUUCCCUUUAAAUGCUGAAGAGAUCAGCCCAGGUUAUUUAGUGUUUCUGAUCAGCAGUUUCCUUGGCUGUUAAAUAAGGUAACAAUAAUAGUUAUCUCCUGAUGCUGUUAUAAUGAAAUGCCGCAUUUGUUACAUUUUGGCCCAGUGUGGCUCUCAGCUAGGGUGAUUUUAGUCCCCAGGGGACACUUGGCAUGUCUAGAGAUAUUUUUUGGUUGUUACAGCUGGAGGUGAGAGGUGGUGAUGCUAUUGGCAUUUAGUGGGUAGAAAUCAGGAAUCCUCUUACAUGUCCUACCGUACACAGAACAGCUACCCCACCAAAGAAUUGUCUGGUCAAAAAUAUCACUGGUGCUGAGGUUGGAAAACUGAUUUAGGCAUUAAUAAGCACUUGAUAAAUGUAUGUGGUUGCUCUUAUUUAUCGACAAGCUGAUAAUGAAGAUCUUAGAUGAUGGGAUUCUGUAUGUGUGUUUUCAUUGGGCUUAACUUUAUUUUGUAUUAUUGUCUGUGAUUAAUAUGGAUUAGUUGACUAUGAAAAAAAUAAAAGUAACAUUUUCAACAUCAAUAUUAUAAACAACAACAACAACGGGUAAUAUUACUCCUGCAAGCCCCAUGAAGUAAGAGAUCAAAUCCCAUCUACAAAAGGCAGGACCUAGCACAUAAUAGGUGUUUGACAGAGCCUACUGAAUUGAAUUGAAAUGCACAAACACAUGCCAAUAAAGACAGAGGAAGCUAGCUUGUAUUACUAGCCGGAUUUUUGUUAGUGAGUUAAAAAAGUGAAUAGACUAAUUUGCAAUCAGUACAUUAUAAAUACGUAACUUUUGUUGCAAACAUCCUAUCUGGAAAUAUUUGUCAGAGAAACAUUUGUUUUCUAUGACAGGCUCUAGCCCAUUGCCACACCCAUGUACCAAACCAUCACAUAUGUAAUUUUUAAAGAUUAUAAAAGUUACAAUGACUCCAAAAAUAAACAUCUUGAAGGUAUAGUGGUUUUUUUUGUACUUAUAUCCCCUUAUUCUGCAGUUUGUAUUACUGUCUCUGGUUCAGUGCUACUUAAUUUCCUUUUUGAAUUGUCAGUCCCAGAAUAUCAAAAAAGAGACUGUUUGUCCUUAUCCUGGAGAGACCUUGAGAAAAAGUGUUAACUUGUGAAAAGUUUUGUGAGAUUAGGCAAUGCCUCUAAAGCCCCAGGUGCUUAUCUGAAAAAAAUGGGGGAUUAUAACACUUACACUAUAUGGUUGUUCAGACAAUCAAAAGAGACAAUAUUAUCUCAAAUGCAAUACACACCACUGGUACUCAGCGAGGUGUAGUAAUUUUUAUUCACUAUCUUUCAAAAAGAUGAUCACUUUGUAAAAUGCUCCAGUUUCACUCAGAAUCAAGUUUUCUUUUAGUCUUGUUGUGGGAAGCAAUAGUGAAUAUGUGCAUGAUUUGAUUUACUGAGAGGCACUAUGGUAUCACGGCAAGAGCUUUGAGUCUACAGCCACCAAAUAGCAAAGCCAAAUUUUAUCAGCGUUAUCAACCGGUGUUUCUCAUAUUUUUAUAUCCAUGACAUCGUUUAAAAGCAGAAAAUACUGUCACAGCCAACUAGUGUUAGUUGAAAUUUGAAAACAAUUUAAAUGCUACAGCCAAGUUGGUGUUGUGUUGUAACUCCUCUAUAAGCUCUUAUCUUUCCAAAUUGCCCAUAAUCCUCCCUAAUCCUACCUCAGACAUGUUUUUUGUGUUUCUCCUCAUGCAUCAUUGAGAAACACACUUUAAAUACUGCCAGAAUGCUUAGGUGGUCCCAAGGAAUUUUUUUUUUUUUACCCAGUUUCACAAGGUCAAUCAAACUCAUGGCUCCGUAAUUGAAUAAUCAAUCAAAUCAAAAACAAUUGAUCUACUCCAGGCAUGUCAGCAACAUAUUGAUUUACCCAUUGAGCUCUGUUCAAAUAUAAUGAAGGUGAUGAAAACCAUCAUUGCAUUGAGAAAUGGUCAAAUAAAGGACCCUGUGCAGCCAUUUUCUCUCUCUCCUCCUUAAUUAUUGCUGUUCUUUUAUAAAUUGAUUUUAGGGUUGUUAAUACAUAAAUCUAUAUAUACUUUGGCAUAGUGGGAAAAAGUUGGUUCAAAACUUCCUUUGGGCCACUUGUCUGUGUGAGCACAAACAUGUUUCUUCAUCACUAGUGUUUUUAUCCAUAAAACACAAAUCAUAUGAAGUCUCUUCAAUGAGAGGCUAAAAUGUGAUCAUGUGGGAACAACUGCGAGGCAAUAGUUAAUAGAAGUUUGGGGAUCAAAUGACAUUGACAUGAAUUCUAACUGUAAUUUUCUAGCUGUGAAACCUUAGGCAAUUGACUCAACUUGCUUGUAUCUUAGUUUCCUUACCUGUAAAAUUGCUAUGGAAACAGUAGCUAUCUCACAGGGCCUUUAUGCAUGAGAGUUAGUGAUAUGGUUAGGCUUUGUAUCCCCAUCCAAAUCUCAUCUUGAAUUGUAAUCCCUAUAAUCCUCACAUGUCAAGGGAGAGACCAGGUGGCAGCAAUUCAUUGAUGGAGCAGUUUCCACCAUGCUGUUCUCAUAAUAGUGAGCGAGUUCUCAGGAGUUCUUAUAGUUUUAUAACGGGUGCUUCCUGCUUCACUCAGCACUUUUCCUUCCUGUCGCCUUGUGAAGAAGUAAGUGCCUUGCUUCCCCUUCACCUUCUGCCAUGAUUCUAAGUUUCCUGAGGCCUCCCCAGUCAUGCUGAACCGUGACUCAAUUAAACCUCUUUCCUUUAUAAAUUACCCAGUCUUGGGCAGUUCAUUAUGGCAGUAUGAAAAUAAACUAACACAGUCAGGUUGAAAACCAACAGAGCAUUUACUUUGAAAGCACUCAGUAAAAAUUAGCUUUACUAUUCUUGUUUUUUGAAAUGCCGUUCAUUAGCUAUUUCUGCCUAUGUUUCCCAGACUUAUAGUUUCCAUUUUAUUUCACAAAUGCUGAGCUUUCAUGCUGUAUGAGAUGGUCACUGCUGGUUGUCCACCAAAAUCCAAUGUCCAAGCCUCCCUCAGUUAUAAAACUCCCCAGCAUUAGCUGGGCUUAUGGUUUCCAAAUUAUAGACCUCAUUUCUAAGUCUUCCCUGAAAAGAUAGAUCUGGUCAUUUGGGUAAGUGCUACCCAAUAGAUUGUAAGAUUUGCUACAAGUAACUCCCAAGAAAUAUCUAUAAGGAAAGGAAGUAUUUUUUUUUCUGUCUCCUUUCUCCUUUAGGUAAGAUAUAAUGUAAAUAUUUUUAAUAGAAUUGAAUGAUAAACUUGAAAAUAAAGUUGAACAGCUUAAAACAUAAGUUGGAAGAUGGGAGUAGAGGAUGGUAGAGCAGAAAGAUAUAAGGAUUCUGGGACUGUGAAGUCACCAAGGCAGUUGUGGAUCAUCUAACAGGGUUUAUAUGCAAGAACAAGGAAAAUACUCAGGUCUUGUUGAAGUCACCAUUAAUUGAAGAUGAGGAAAAUUCACAUAAUCAUAUUAAUAGUUAUCAUCUUGGCACCAUGGAAUCAAGUGAUUUCCACAGUACUGGCUAAGAGAUGCCCUUGGAUAAUAAAUAGCCCAGGAUGAUAAUCUAUUUGCACGGGUACAAGACUAUCCUUAUCCCUUUUUAUUUAAUUACAACCAAUAACUGAAUAAGUAGAUGAAUAUUAGAAAAAAUAUAUGAAUGAACUCACGGCCCUCCAAUCCCAUCUAUUUCAGAACAAUACAAUUUAACUUUCUCCCAGGAGUUUCUCAGAAUUAAGUGUAAAUCAUGUAUAUUUUAGCAAUAAGGAGUGUUAGAAAAAACACAGGGCUGAGAAUUAAGGGAGCUGGAUUUUGCCCUGUUCCUUCUUGGGUAAACUAUGUGCCUAUGAAAAUUCACUUUGUAUGCACUUUAGUUUAUUUCUCUAUAUGAUACACAUCAUAACAUCAACACUUCUGUAGCAUAAAAAGUUGUUUAUACAGUAAUAGGUAUGUAAGUAUCUUCAAAAGUUAAAAUUUAGAAAAUUUGUAAGGUAUUUCUAUAGUUUCACUGAGAGAUGAUGUUGACUCAGAGGUUCCAUGGAAGAGAACUACCUAUGGAUGUUUCAGAAACCAAAAGGCUGCUGAUGUGCCAGUUGGCAGGACAUCAUACUGGGACUGAGAAUAUGCAUUUAUGCACUUGGGUCUGCCAUUCACACCUGCCCCCAACCCAAUCCCUGCCCUCUGUGAAGAGACACAGCAUCCUAUUCAUCACAGUCUUUGCAUGCCGCCAAGAAUGUGCUGCUGCUUCCAUCCAUUGAAACAGGCGGUUGGUUGGCAAAGCCAUCAGACACCUGUUGAGGCUGAGUCAUCCCUAUUCACAGGAUGUGCCUCACAGCUUGGGUGGAGCGUGUUCAGUAAAGGAUGGGAGGCCUGGCGAGCCCAAUCUGGUGCAGCUGAUGCUCUCAUUCAUUGGCAGUUUUGAGGGGAAACCAGAGAGCCACGGUCUAAUUUCACUUACUCCUCAUCUUCUCUUUGACAGAUGGAUGUUUGCAGUGGAGUGGUCAUGCACAUGCAUUCAGGCUCAGGAAACUUAGAAAGAACUGUGUUGGGCUUGAAGGACAUCAACCAUUUCACGGAUAUUAAAAUGAGUGGUGGUGGCAUUGACACAGUGCCUGUUUAGAUCCCUGACAAUUUUUUCUAGCAUAUGCAGCUUUGUUACCAUGGUUUCUUAAUUUAAGAUCCAGGUGGUUAUGUCAAUUCCAGAACUGACCAGUGGCUUUGUAGAUGAAAAUUAGUUCCACAAGUCAAGAAACUCUUGAUCCUAGCUGAUACUUAUGUAAUUUGUUAAAGUAAUCUAUGACUAUUGGAGUUUUUACAGGAACCAAAUGAUCAUCUAUAUUGAAGCUUCUAGAGCAGUCUAAAUAAUUAACCCUUUCUUUCAGUUGCAGCUCCAGAAUUUCUAUAUAGAAAGGGUUUAGAAGCUGCAACACACAUAAAAAGGGAGAGGUAGCAUCUUGAAAAUGAGUUUCCUAUGGGUUUUACAAAAUAUUGAGAGACAUGCAUUUCUAAGGAUGCUGAGCAGGUGAUGGCCACCCAGAUCCUUACUUUACAACUGGAGCUACUUUUCUCUCUUUGCAUAUUGAAUUAUCUAAAACACAGAAACAGAAAUAAUAUAGGAAAAAAUAGCCUUGUUACUAAGUAAGACUAGAGUAUUUUGGAACUGGGUUCAAAAUAAACCUUUCUUCUGCUUUUCUGCUGAAUUAAACUCACCAGCCCAGUCACAGGCACAGUAGUAACACUACAGGGUUUUUCUGAUGAAACUGAUGUCUACAUUGGUCUACAAUGUAGUCUACACUGGUCAGCUUAGCUUAUGGAGGAGAGUGUCUUGUCUGCAGGCAACCAGAUCCCAUAAAAGAGAGCCAAGAGAAGUCAUAAAGUGACUGUUUUUAAAAUCUCUAAUUUCUCUUUUGGAGGAAAAUUCAUCAGAGGUAAAGAGAAGAGCAGAAAAUAUCAACUCAGUAUUUGCAAAAGGGUAGAAGCUCCUAUUUUAUAGGCCAGCAGUACUGUUGGGAAAGAAAAUACACAACUCCUUACAGUGACCAGGCUUAAACAAAAUGGCUGGGGUGAGAUAGGAGAGUAGGAAAAGCCCUGGAUUUGGAGCCAGAUGCAACUAAGUUUGAAUCCUGGGUCAACUGUUUACCAGAUAUAGACAAAUCUCUUCAUCUGUGAAUGCCUCAGUUUUCUUUCCAACAGAAUGAGGGUGCUGAGACUCCAAGGUUUCCUGCAGAGCAAUAGACUGAGAGGUUGUGUGGAUGAGAGUCUUGGCUCUGGAACCAGAAGGACCUCCUUUUUUUUUUUUUUUUUUUUUUUUUUGAGACAGGGUCUCACUCUGUUGCCCAGGUUGGAGUGCAGUAAUGCUAUCUUGGCUCACUGCAACCUCCAUCUCCAGGGCUCAAGCAAUCCUCCUGCCUUAGCCUCCCAAGUAGCUGGGACUACAGGCACCUGCCACCAUGUCUGGCUAAUUUUUGUAUUUUUGUAGAAGUGGGAUUUCCCCUGAACUCCUGGGUUCAAGCAAUCCAUCUGCCUGCCUAGGCCUCCCAAAGUGCUGGGAUUACAGGUGUGAGCCCCCACACCUGGCCAGUACCUACAUUUGUUUAGUAAUGGCUCUAAUGUUCACCAAAAGUCAGGUUUUGCAUUUGCAAAAUAGGGUUGAUAUCUAUUUUACAGGUGAAUUUGGGGUAGCUACUGAGAGACUACACAUGAAGAAUUUUGUAUGAUAAGCACUAAGUAAAUUUCAUUUUAAAAGACCCAAAGAAUUGCUGUUAAAUUUUAUUAAAUAAUUGUCAAAUUAUGAAAUUUAGUGUAUUUAUCUAUUAGGGCAAAUGCUAAAACAAGACAAAUUAGGGUUUGCUUAUCUAAUAAUUUCUAGGGCUUUAAGUAUAGCAGGGGCUAUUUUCACCUAUCAUUUCCAACAUUUAUCCUUCAAAGUAAUGUUGGGUCUUCCAAAUCUGAAGAUAAACUGAAUUAUGUUAUAAAAUAUCUGUGCAUGGCAUACAACCAAAAGCUGCAUCCAGGUCAGAAAGAAUAAUGAUAGUAGAUCAGAUAGGAGUAAUCAAGCUUACUGAGGAAUUUUAUCUAUGUUAUUCAAUUUAUUCCUUUCAAAUAGGACUUGAGUUCACAACUAUUAAUUGAAAGGGGACGUUUGAAUAAAGUCCAUGAUUUUUAUGUUUUUAAAUAGAACACUCAUGAGAAAUAUAAAUGCAUAAAACAGUUAGAAGUGGAGAUGCUCUUUGGAAGUUUCUGGUUCCCCAACUUCCUCAUAUUCUCCCUCCUCUAGCAAUGACAAGGAUGCCCUAAGCUCUAUGAAACUGCGAGAUAAACAUCUACCAGGUUGAUAUCAUAUCACUCAAAAGCAAAAUUUAUUCCUCAGGUGAGUAGAUUCAUCCAGAAAAUCUUAAUCCUGAAUUUAGUGGAGAAACUCAUGAUUUGUAUAAGAUAUAUAGACCACUUUGUGUAAAAAUAAAAUGAAGACCUCUCUAUAUAAAAAUGUUUGUUCAGGUAUAUAGACCAACGGAGCAGAACAGAGGCCUCAGAAAUAACAGCACACAUCUACAACCAUCUGAUCUUUGACAAACCUGACAAAAACAAGAAAUGGGGAAAUGAUUCCCUAUUUAAUAAAUGGUGCUGGGAAAACUGGCUAGCCAUAGGUAGAAAGCUGAAACUGGAUCCCUUCCUUACACCUUAUAUAAAAAUUAAUUCAAGAUGGAUUAAAGACUUAAAUGUCAGACCUAAAACCAUAAAAGCCCUAGAAGAAAACCUAGGCAAUACCAUUCAGGACAUAGGCAUGGGCAAGGACUUCAUGAUUAAAACACCAAAAGCAAUGGCAACAAAAGCCAAAAUAGACAAAUGGGAUCUAAUUAAACUAAAGAGCUUUUGCACAGCAAAAGAAACUACCAUCAGAGUGAACAGGCAACCUACAGAAUGGGAGAAAAUUUUUGCAAUCUACCCAUCUGACAAAGGGCUAAUAUCCAGAAUCUACAAAUAACUCAAACAAAUUUACAAGAAAAGAAAACAAACAACCCCAUGAAAAAGUGGGCAAAGGACAUGAACAGACACUUCUCAAAAGAAGACAUCUAUGCAGCCAACAGACACAUGAAAAAAUGCUCAUUGUCACUGGUCAUCAGAGAAAUGCAAAUCAAAACCACAAUGAGAUACCAUCUCAUGCCAGUUAGAAUGGCAAUCAUUAAAAGUCAGGAAACAACAGAUGCUGGAGAGGAUGUGGAGAAGUAGAAAUGCUUUUACACUGUUGGUGGGAGUUUAAAUUAGUUCAACCAUUGUGGAAGACAGUGUGGCAAUUCCUCAGGGAUCUAGAACUAGAAUUACCAUUUGACCCAGCAAUCCCAUUACUGGGUAUAUACCCAAAGGAUUAUAAAUCAUGCUACUAUAAAUACACAUGCACAUGUAUGUUUACUGUGGUACUAUUCACAAUAGCAAAGACUUGGAACCAGCCCAAAUGUCCAUCAAGGAUAGACUGGAUUAAUAAAAUGUGGCACAUAUACACCAUGGAAUACUAUGCAACUGUAAAAAAGGAUAAGUUCCUGUCCUUUGCAGGGACAUAGAUGAACCUGGAAAUCAUCAUUCUCAGCAAAUUAUCACAAGGACAGAAAACCAAACACCUCAUGUUCUCACUUAUAGGUGGGAAUUGAAUAAGGAGAUCACUUGGAAACAGGGUGGGGAACAUCACACACGGAGGCCUAUCGGGGGUGGGAGUCUGGGGGAGGGAUAGCAUUAGGAGAAAUACCUAAUGUAAAUGAUGAGUUGAUGGGUGCAGCACACCAGCAUGGCACAUGCAUACCUAUGUAUCAGACCUGCACAUUGUGCACAUGUACCCUAGAACUUAAAGUAUAAUAAUAAUUUUUUAAAAAGUAGUUUGUUGUGCCUAACUUGUUAGUCAUAAUAAAAUUAAAGAAAAUAAAAAAAUGGUAUGGAAACUAGAAUGAUUACUCAAGAAAGUCUAUAGGUACCAAAUGUAUUAUAUAAAAUUAAUUUUAAAUAAAACCAAAGUCCAAAGUAACCCUGAUAAAUAUAAACUCUAUAUAGGCAGAUUCAUGCUUAACACACUUUACAGUUAAUAAUAUAUUUAGGAUGUCCUAGAAUAUUUGUUGAAUAAGUAGAGAAAUCAAUGACCCAAUGAAGCAAUAAUUAUAUGUUAGAAUCAAUGACAUUAUUUUCCUCCUUAUAAACACGAUCUCUUUUAAUAAACUUACCUAGCCCUGUAGGUUUAAAUAUUAUCUAUAUAUCAAUGAUUCCAAAAUUGUCAUUUGUAGUUCUGAUCCCUCCAAUGAAUGUCUGACAUUUGUGUCUAAUUGUUCAUUCAAAAUAUUUAAAAAAGUGUCAAUAUGAAUCUCAACACAACCAAAAGAGAGCUGUCUUUCGACGUCCUACCCUCUUCUGCAAGAUAUUCUUCCAUGUAUUUGUUCCAGUUAUCUAUUGAUGCAUUAAAAAAAACCAAGAGUUGGUGACUUAAGAAAACAAUAACUAUCCCCAAAUCUUUUCACCUCUUUUUAAAAAAACAAAUCUGCAAUUUGGGAAGAAGUUAGCAGGAAAGGCUUGUGCUUCCCUCAUGUAGCCUUAGGUGGACAGCUGAAAUAGAGGCUGAAUGGUCAGUUUCCAAGGUGGCUCAAUCACUUGGUUGGUAAGUUGGUGCUGGCUCUGAAGCUCACCUGGGGCUGAGGGCCACGGAUCUCCAUUCUUCUCCAAAUGAGUAUCUCCAUGUUGUCUAGGUCUCUUCACAGCGUGGCGCCUGGGUUCCAAGGGGAAUCAUCCCAAGAGAGAACCAGGGAGAAACUGUAUCCACCUGCAAGAUCUAACAUCAGAAGUCAUAUAGAACACCAUUCCCUACUCUUAGCUAAGGAAGUCACAGAGAUCUGACUCCCUUCCUUCAAGGGAGGGAACCAUAGACUCUACUUGUGGGACUGGCUGGGUUCUGAUAGAAUAUGGACAUAUGACUUCAGCCAUUUUUGGAAAUUAUACUGUGCCACACCUUAACGUGUCAGAAGACGAGGACACUGUCAUAACUUUCAGUCAAUUGCUCAAACCAAAUAUCAAAGUAUUAUCCUGAAUAUGCCUCCUUUUAUUUUACACUCACGUCUGUUUAAUCAGAAAAUCCCAUCAACUCAAAACAUACCACAAACAUGUGUUUUUCUUCCUCAUGUUUAGGACAACCAUCCUCAUCCUGGGUGACAUCCUCUCUCUCCUAGUUGGCUUCAGGAACCUCCUAAUUGAUUACCAUCUUCUCUGUUCUUUUGUCCCUACACUCCAUUCUCCAUAUGACAAUUAGGAUAAUCAUUUUAAAGCAUAACUCAGAUGAUAGCCUUCCCUGCUUAACAAAACCUCCAAUGACAAAGUGGAUCACAGCCUAGUGAUAAAGUGGAGUAAUUCACCAGAAAGAUAUAAAAAUUCUAAAUGUCAAUGAAUCUAAUAUCACAAGGACAAAAUAUGCAAAGCAAAAACUGACAAAAUUGAUUUGAUAAUUCCACACUCAUAAAUGGAGACUUUUUUCAUAACCUUCUCAGAAAUUGAUAGAUCAGGCAGAGGAAGAAUGUUAAUGCCGUGUAUCUUAAUGGAUUACUGGCGGGCUGAGGCACUCCUCCCCUCAGCCCAUGGUCUGUCUCUCGCCUUAAGCAGUCUCAUCUGAAUUAUUAUGUUUAUGCAUAUUUUAUGCAUAUUGAAAAAGAUUGGGAAUCACUGCCUCAGACUACCUCUCAAACAAUAAGGCAUACCAGAAUGUUCAUUGUGGCAGUGUUUUGUGAUAGUAAACAUUUUGAAAAAAAAAUCAAAAUACUGAUUUGCAAUAGAAUGGAAAACAAAAUUGUUGCAUUACAUACAACAAAAUCAAUAUGGAUACAUCUCACAAAUAUAAUAUUGAAGAAAAAAGUUGCAGAAAACAUUCAAUAUGAUGUUAUAUAUGUAAAUGUUACAAAUUUGCCAAACAAUAUUGUAAUUAUUCAAGGAUGCUUACAUGUGCUCUAAAAAUAUGAAGACAGGAAGAGUAAUGAAAGUCAUCAAAUUCAUGUUAGAGGUUAUGUCUUGGAAAGAUGAUGGGAGCAAAAAAGUGAUGAAGAGAAUAUAGUAAUGGAAUCAUGAGGAAAAUAAAAUAGGUUAUUUUUAAUAUUUCUCUUCUUAAAGGGCAAUGGCAUAUAUAUUGUUAUUAAAUUAUUUCUUAUACAUUUUGUACAUACGAAAAAAUAGAAAAAAUCAAAACUGUAGCUCCGAGCUUAUAAAAGCACAUUCACACGUGUGCACAAAAGACAAACAUAACAGACACACACCCCUCUAGUAGCUUCCCACCAGAUUCCUUCUUCUGAUUAACAAAGCACACAUUCUAUGACCUCUGCCUACCUCUCAGAUCAAAUAUCACACCACUCUUCUCAUGCCAGUUCAUCAAGAUCCUCUCUUAGGCCAAGCUUAGUUCUGCCUUUGAGUGUGCUUUCCCUUGUUCGACCAAUGCCUUACCAAUUAGAACUCAGUAUAAAUGUCACUCUCUCAAACACCCUCCCAUGAAUGCCCAAACUGAAGUAUUUGCUGCCAUUCUUAUUACUUUGCCCUCACUUAGACUUACUUCUUCUCAUAAUGUAUUCAUUUAUUCAUAAUUGAAUAGACUCAUUGAUUUCUUCUUGUUUGAGACACUCCCACCCUGCCAUGUCUAGUGUUGGAGCUCCAGGGGAGUGGAGACCUUAUCUGUUUGCUCCCUACUGGCCCCCAGUACCUGGAAGAGGUCUCAUCCAUUGAAGACAGACAACAAGUGUGUGUUGAGCUGCUAUAGAAAUGAACAUACACUAGAAAACUACUGGGAAAAAAAUACAACCUAAUAUUAUUAAGUUGUUAGUGUUACUUUCAUGUUAAGACAAUUGAAACACCAUAUUAUUUUACAUUUUUAAAAGUUUAUGUCCUAGUUUGCUAUGUAUUAGCACAGAGGUCUUACAUAAGUCACUUUACUUCUGCUAAUUUUUGUAUGUAAAUUUUAGAAGGCAUUCAAACUUGGCCAUUCUCAGUUCCCAGUUGAGAUGUGCACAUUUUCCUCUCACCUUUGAAAGGUGAGAAACACUCAUUAGAAAAUUACCUGAUGCCCAGACCAUUCACCCACUUUAUCUCCAGAGGACAUACCUCCUGUUACUUGUAUUUCUCAAUGUUUAAUCACAUGUGAUUCAUCUUGUCUGCAGUUUUACUCUAUUGGUGUGGGCUGGUCCUACUCAUGUACUUGAGUAGUCAGCUCAUAUCAGCUCUACUGAGAAGCUUUCUGUAUUCUAUGGCACCCUAAUCUUACUUUAACUCAAAGUUGGUUUAGUUAUCCCUCCUCUGAAUCUCUGAACUCAUAUCAACUCCCUACAUUUUUCUCUGUCAUAGCACUUAUUUUAUUGUUUGUUGUUUAAUAAACCUUGAGAAGUUAAUAAACUUUUAUAUGAAAUACAAAGGUUUCCCUCAAAGAAGAACUCUAUGUUGUAAAACUUCUGGCCCUUGAUCUCUACAAAAGCACAGACAUAAAAGUGAAAAAAAAGUGUGUUUUCCAACUGAAUCUUUCCAUCUCUAAGCCAUACUUGCAUCCAAGUCAUCUAAGAAAGACAGUUAAUUACAUCUUCAAAACUUUGUAAAAGAGCAGUAAGAGGUCCUACAUUUGGAAAAAUUAGAGCCAUUAUAUUGUAACUUUCAAGUUCAGUAAGUUCUUUCUAAAAGCUAACUGCAGUAUUUCAAAGUUAGUGUUGCGCAGUCUCUUUGACCUAACUUUCUGGGUUUAGUCAUGGUCCUGCUAAUCAGUAGCUGUUGUGACCUUAGGCAAGUUCCUUAAUCUCUCUGUGCAAAAUGGAUGAUUCUCAACAAGAAUGUUGGGAAAAUGAAAGAUCUCCUGCAUGUACAGCGCUUAGAGUUCUGCCCAGAACAGAGAAAACAGCAUGUAUGUGUCAGCAAUAAAAACUCUUCGCUUAUUAGCUUCAAGACAUUGGCUUUGACCUUUGUGGUCACAAAGAGUUGGUCAACUUCACUCCUAGUUCACAUAAGAUUUUAAGCAACUUGACUAAAUCUCUUGUAUCUGUUUUUCCCAGGCUCAGGAUAUUUCUUCAUAAUGCCAGCAAUACUUGAGGACUAAUUGUGGUUGCAUACUUUGUGGUAAAUAAUUCCUUUUAUAAUUUUCCAGUAAAUUUUCAGUUGCUUUGACUAGGUUGGCCAAGGACACCACAAAUCUGACCCUUAACUACCUUUCUACUCUCACCUCUCUUCACUUCUCCCCUUAUGGCCUGUGCAAUUCAAUUGUCUUCAGGAGGUAGUGUUUCCAGAUCAUGGGAAUCUCCCCAAUAAAGUUGUAUUGAACUGAAUUGAAAUGCUGAAAUAAUUACCAUAAGACAAUUGUGUUUUAUUAUAUAAGCUGAAUCACUUCUAGGCUUUCAAAUUAGUGGUUAUCUCUUCUAGCUUUAACACUUCUGUCCCAUCUCUGAACCUUUACUAAGCUUUCCUUUUAAUUCCAAGGCAUUGAUAUCUCUAGAAUCAAGACCUGAUCAACAGUGAGAAUAAAUUUAAAAAGUUUUAUGGGUCUGUCUUAUUACCAUGUAUCUGCAACUUUUUGCAACUUUAUGUCAUUUACUCAUCUGAUGGACAGUGAAAAUCUACUAUAUGCCAGACUUAAGGUGCAUCAAUUUGGGGAAAAAUCGCUUAUCACUCUUUAAGAAUUUCAAAAUCUAGCUGGAGAGACAGAUACAUGCAUGCAGACAGAGAGAGAGAGAACUAGAGAGAAAAUUUUAAUGUACGAAAAUAAAUGCUAUGAUAGAGAAAAAUGUAGGGAGUUGGUAUGAAUUCAGAGGUUCAGAAGAGGGGACAAUGAAUCCAACUUUGAGUCAAAGUAAGAUUAGGGUGCCAUAGAAUACAGAAAGCUUCUCGGUGGAGCUGAUAGGAGCUGAGUACUCAAGCACAUGGGUAGGACCAGUCCACACCAACAGAGCAAAGCUGCACACAAGAUGAAUCAUGUGUGAGAAGCAGUUCAUUGGGAUCUUCAAGUAAUUGAGGAGUGCUUAUUCUACUUCCCAUUUCCAAAGGACGAAAAAGUGACUCAUCACCCAUCAUAGAGAAGUAACAAUCUUAUGAAAGUUCAUCUGGUUCAUGUGCUUAGCUUAACAGAUGAACCAUGGUAAGUCCUGGAGAAGGAAACUGAUUUGUCCAUGGAAAUGCCUCACUUAGCUUCCAAGCCCAGUCUCCUGAGCACAAAUUAUUUUACUUUCUUCAGCAGAAUCAAACAAGUGAAAUGAUCUGGAUUCACUUCCUAUGCAGGGAUAACUUUAGGACUUAGCACAGGUACCAGGAAGCUCUGAAAUAAGUCAACUUGACUGAUGGUCCUGGGUAGUAGAGUCACUGAGCUUUCAUAACUAGAUUCUUACCUUAAGCCCCAAAUAUACUUCAGCCUUAUAGUGUAACUUUUAUUAAUUCAAUUGCUUAUUGCAUAAAUAUUUAGUGUCACCAACUAUGUCAGGCGCUCUACUAAGCACUAUUGCUACAGUGAUAACUAAGUUUUGUUCCUGUCAUUUAAAGAAGCACAGUAUCUGCUUUAUUCAUCUGAGCCCAAUACCCUAUCUUAGUUUCUUAGGAAGCUUCUCUGUCGUUGGGACAUUUCCAGGUCCUGCUGAGGCCAUGAGGAGGUUUCAAAUGCCGUUCUAGAACUGUGGAUCUUAUGGUCAUAUUUCUAUUACCCUCUUCUAAAGUUCUAAGUUCAUUUCCUGUUCCUGACCCCACUGAUACUACAUUUCACCCAUUUAUUGAUGUUUCUCUCUAUAAACCAAUCUGGAUUUCCUCUUUUUACAUUUAUCCCUAGGGACCCAUCUAGCUUCCAAAUCAUGACCUUCCUCAGAUUGUUUCAUUCUAUUAUGAACCAAUACCCAGUCUCAGGAAUCAAGAUCACUGGGUAUGUUCAAUGCAGUUUGGGAUUAUUAUUUCAUUGAACAUCUAUUUACUGAACACCUGAUGCGUGGCAGGCAAGUGUUUGCUACAUAGCUUUGUGCAGUUAUUUAUUCUCCCUAAACUUCAGUUUAUUUAGCUGGAAUAAUAAUACCUGUCUCUUGGGUUAUAAAAAUUACAUGAGAUUAUAAAGUUAUCUUAGGUUUAGUUUCCUUGAAGCAGAGCCUGAUAUGGGGAUUCAUGCACAUGUAACUAACUGAAGGAGUACCCUCAGGAGAAGCUGGUAAACGAAUGAGGAAACAAAAUAAAGAGGAAGGAGAUAUAUAAGAAUGUAGUCUCAGAUAAGGUCUAAAUAAGUCUGAUUUUCUGGGGCUUUCUGGAACAUAAGAUGCACCAAAGAAUCUGCCCUGACUUGAGGCAAGGUCAGUGGUAGUGGAGGGAGUCAUGGUGUAUUACAACCCCAGAAACUCCAAGGAGAAGCAUUUUCAAAAGAUCAAGAGGAAUCCUCUGGAGAAAGUUGCAAGUGAAAGUUCUGAGCUGAAACACCCCAAGCAAUUGAGGAAUAGGUACACCAAUCCUUCAGGUAAAAGGGAUUCCAGGGGACUUGAGAGUCCAGCAAUAUCAUUUGUGAUAAUAAUCUUACAAUGGAGACAGAGAAGGCAAUGGGUAAUUACAGAUCAGUGGAAUUGACAGAGGUAAGCAUGAGCAUGGGUGUUUACAGCCCUGGGUGCUAACCAAGGGUGAAGAGAGGCUUUCUGGAGGAUGAUGGAAGUGAAUAGAGCUUUGGAGGUUAAGUAGGAGGUGGCAAAGCAAAAUCACAUGUCAAACAUGGUCCUUGACAGGAAGGCUCUGACCAAGGCCAUCAUCCAAAAUAGACUGCCUGUUUCAUAGUCCUACCUGACAGGGAGACAGUUGGUGGUUUCUAUCAGGAGAAAGCAAGAACUUGCCUUCUGAGCAUCAUUAUUAAGGUGUAGCAUGAUAAACCAAGGUUUGACGUGGUGGAUCUUGAGUGAAGUUUAUUUCUUCCCAGGCAGGCAUCCAGACACUGUUCAUGUUAAUACUCCUUCAGCAGGGCCCAAGAAGAGCACACCACAAAUGCAUAGAUUAAUAUCAGCAUGUGCUGGGAACAGCUCCAAACCAAGCUUUCAGCAGUUUGUAAAGAUAUGUAUGAGGCACAAAGCAAAAGAUACAGAUUGAACUGGCCUGAAAGAGGAAACAAAUGUAUUGUUCUUGCAGGGUGUUGCCAUUUGAUUUUGUUUAGGGGCCCCUCAGACAAAUAGGUGAGCUAAGAGCAUCUGAUGAUUCAAAAAGCAGACUCAAACUGAGGACAUUUUGCUAAAACCCCAGCAAUUCUAUGGAUAAAGCUAUGACACUUUAAAAAAUGAGAGCAAAAGGGAGAGAGAUUAACUUCAAUCUGCGAUGCUUCUGACUGGGCAAAAGGCACUGAUUCAUCCAUGAGAUUGCUAAUAGCAGGUGUCUUUGGUGAUUUAUGCCAACAAACAAAGUUGUUGUGGGCCCUAAUCCUUUUCCAUCUGUUCUAUAAUAGGGAGUGGAAACAGGAGAGGUUAUGAAUAAUUCUAGAGCUCUGGGAUCCUUUUCCCUCUGAAAUGUGGAAGCCAGCCUUCCUCAUUACUUACCUCAUGAUCUUUAAGAGGUGAUGGGGCUUUCUGGGGAGGCAGAUUACCGCCCAGAUACAGAUUCUCUAUCCUCUUUUGUAAUCUAUGCUGGUGAUGCUUUCUGGACUUGAAAUGAAGUAGGGACAUAAAAGAAAAUCUUUCUCUUCCAGUUAAAAUCCAUAUAGUGAAAAAGUAUUUUGACUGCUUACCCUGAGUCCACCAUCAGCUGAGAAGGAUCUCCAGGAGUUUAGGUUUUCUUGAUAAGAAAGACCGACAAAGAUAGUAAGAAGAACACCAAACAUGCAUUCAUAGAGCAUAGGUACCCUCCUCCUGUUUGUGAUUUCUCUGUGGACAUAAAAUGGCUGUGGGUCCUUAAGUGAGUUACUACCUCCUCUGACCAUCACUUUCUUCACUUUUAGAAUGAGGAUAAUAUCUGCAUUUCCAGGUUGGGAAGACAACAUUAGAUAAUUUUGAAAGUGGUACAUAAAUGUUAGUUUCUCUUCUAUUAUUUUUAGGCAUAAACAUAUAAAAAUACAUGGAAACCUAAUGGGUAGGUAACUCUGAAGUGAGCUGCUGGGGUGGUAUUUGAGCUGGGCUUUGAAGAAGAGGUGGGCUUCCAUCAGGUAGAGAUAAGAGAUCAGUGCAGUUCAAAUGAGAGCAAUCAUCUGCUUUAGUUUCCUAAGGCUGGUGUAAGAGAUGUACCUCAAACUAUUUACAUGGUGAGUUUGCUUAGGAAAGCAUUUCGUUUGAGGUGUCUGUGGGAAUUCUGGGAAUAGGUGUCCAAGGUACAAUAGGUUGGAGAUAUAUAGUUUCCAGAAAAAUCAUGAUAGUGAAACAUUAUAUAUGGAUGAGGUCUCAGGACCACUUAGCAACUAGGAAAAUAUAGGUCUGUUGCUUAAACAAUAGUAACUUAUUCUUUCACAGUGAGGAGGCUAGAUAUCUAAAACCAAGGGACUGGCAGAACCGUGCACUCUGGAUCUAAGGCAGACAUAUCCUAGCUUCUGGUGGUUUCUGGCAAUCCUGGGUGAUCCUUGAGUUACAGAUGCAUCACCCUCAUCUUUUCCUCUGCUGUCACAUGGCAUUCCCCUGUGUGUCUGAGUCCAAAUUUCACUCAUCUUAUAAAAACAUCAGUCACUGGAUUGGGGCCCACCCUAUUCCAGCCUGACCUCAUUGUAAUUUGAUUAUAUCUACGAAGACUCUAUUCCUAUGUAAGGUCACAUUCACAGGUACUGGGAGUUAGGAUUUGAACAUAUUUUGAGGGGAACGUAAUUCAAUCCACACCAUUAUGUAAGCAAAAUUCCCAGAAGGGAGGAACAGGAUAUAAUCAGAGGAGAAGUGAGUAACUUAUCAUGAACAUAGUAGAAAUCUGGCGGGUGAGUGGAGCACAACAAUGCCAGAAAGGCACAGAAAUCAACAAACAAGUUCCAGGCAAAGAGCUGAGAGUGUCAAGAUGAGAAACACUAUAUUCAGAGGCCGAGGCAGGUGGAUCACUUGAGGUCAGGAGUUGAAGACCAGCCUGGCCAAUAUGGUGAAACUAUGUCUCUACUAAAUAUACAAAAAUUAGCUGAAAAUCGCUUGAACCCAGGAGGCGGAGGUUCCAGUGAGCCAAGAUCACACCACUGCACUACAGCCUGGGUGACAGAGUGAGACUCCAUCUCAAAACAAAACAAAACAAAACAAAACAAAACAAAACAAACAAAAACAUUCCUGCAUUAGAGGAAUUUUAUGUUGUAUGUAAAACCAUUCUGUACACAAUAGGCAGUCGGUGCUCUCCAGGACUGUGAUAUGUAUGAUAUCUAUGUUAUGGGGAUAUAGAUUAUGCCUCUGAUCUCUGUUUUAUUCAUCAUUGAAUGUUCAGAACCUAGUAUCAUUUCUGACAAACAGUAGAUACUUGGUAAAUAUUGUUGAACAAAUGAACACCUUCUUUUAUAAAUGUAGACUCUAAUUGAGAGAGAGUAGCUUGUUGAAGGACACACAGAUAAUGAAUAGAAAGGCUGGCAUGAACCCGUGGCCUAUUUGACUACAGAGUCCAUGCUCUCUUAACUACUUCAUUGCCUCUUUGAGUAGUUUCUUAACUCUGAAUAGUUUAUUGUUCCCAUCAUUGUUAUCUAUUUUCCACUGUACAUGAAGGUCAGAUAAUACUUGGAAGCUCCUGUAUUGCCUCCUGAGACGAUGAGACAAGGCGGUCCACUGGGCGUGCCAUUUGACAGAGCAGGAGCCUCGAUCUGGCUCUGCUCCCUCAAAUGACAUGCUCACUUUCUCCCACAGAUGUUAGAGAGAGCCUAAAGGACACAGUGACAUUUGGCAUCUGCAAAAGGCCAUGGUAAUUCCCUCUGUCACAGGCAUUGCCAUUCAUCCUUUCAAUAUCCGUUAAAAAUAGUGCCAUAUUCUGACCCUCUGCCCAUGGAAAAAAACAGUAUUCAGUUGGAUAGGUUUGCCUCUAGGCAUUUAUUACUGAGUUGGGAGAUAAAAUGAAAUUUAGGUUCAUGAGAAAUAAAUUAUCAGGAGCAAAAGGAAAGUUAAAGUUCACCCAAUUUUAGCCCUUAUAAACAAUGCUUAAAGUGCCACUCCCAAUUACCUCAUGUGUGUGUGCACAUGGUUAUCUGUAAGACUUUUCUACAUCUUUAGUCCACAGAUAUUACUAGACACAAAAUCUUGGUCUUCGUCCUUUGAAGGCAAGGAUGAAACUUUGGCUUAAUCAGUCACUCUUAUAAAAAGGGAAAUUUAACAUUCAAAAUAUUGGAGGGAAAGUCUCACCACUGGAUAGAAGAAAGAUGUUUUAUUGUAUGUUCUCCAACAUUACAGGAUAUUUAGUUAAUAACGAUAAUUUUAAUUUACUAUUAUUUUUCACACUUGACUAUAACAGUGAUCUAUGUUUUAAAUGGUGUAAGCCAAUAUUGAACUUUCUCUGCUGCCAGUAGCUAACUUCACCAUCUCUUUCUUGAUAGCAAUGGUUGGAAUUAUACCUUAAGUGUAGAUUGACUAAUGGCUUUAUUGAAUGGUAGUCUCCUAGUUCUACAAAUGAUAUGAAACUGGCCGAAGAAUUAAUAGAAUUAAUAUUAAUCUAAAAAUUAAUAGGAAUUAUUUAGAUCAGGGGUUAGAGAGUCACAUUUCACCUUGUUUACAAGAGCACCAGAAUUUGCUAUCCCUUUCUUAGCUCCAUUUUAGAGGUAGCACCAUCAAGGGCAAAGGAGAGACACUGCUCAGGGCCACUGUGAUAGGCAAGAGAGCCUAGACUUCAUCUUCAGGUGCUGCCUGUAGCAUUUGUGUUGUGACAUUAUGUUAAUUAAAUUAAAAAUAUAAAUCCUUUAUAUUCAAGUUAGAGGUAGGAAACCAUCAUUUAGUUUUCAGCAAACUCACAAAAAGAAAAAUUCUAUAGGGGGAAGAAAGAGUUGAAAUACAAAGGCCAGAUAUUAAUCCCUUUAACGCCAGGUAAGAGUUGAGUUGAGAUGCUUGUGCUCAGAAAUAACACAUCAUGAAGAGCCUUGAGUUUGAACUUGGUUUCAAAAGCUGUGCAAGAAUCAAUCAACAGUUUUGGGUAAAAAAAAUGUCAUGCUCAGAUCUGUGUCUUUAAAGUGUCAUUCUGACAACAGUGUGGAGAUAUGGAAGUAGGCAAUACUGUAGACAAGAUUAUUGAGAAGUCUAGCAAGGCAGAAAUAGCAGAAAGAAAACAAAAGACAGAUUUUACAUGUAUCAAGAAAGUGGAAUCUGUAGGAUUUCUAACUAUUUGAAUGUGGGGGCAAAGUAAUUGAGAAGGGGGAAUGUAGGAUGGUUUCAGGCUUUUAGUGAGGCAACAUGAAGGGCAACCAUGUCUUUUGUGAAGAGAGACAAAAUAAGAGAAGCUAUUUACAUGGUGAGUUUGGUUAGGAAAACAUCUUGUUUGAGGUGUCUGUGGGACUUCUGGGAAUAGGUGUCCAAGGUACAAUGGGUUGGAGAUAGAAAUAUAUAGUUUUCAGGAAAAUCAUGAUAGUGAAACAUUAUAUAUGGAUGAGGCCUCAGGACCACUUAGCUACUAGGAAAAUAUAAGUCAGAACACUUCUAACUGGUAAAGACAGGAAGAAGAUUCAUGGAGGCAGAUUUAGCAGAAGGAGCUGGAUAAGUGAUAGAUUAAAUAAGAAAAACAGUGCAGUAUGAUAGACAUAGACAACAAAAGAGACAAUUUAAGAAGGAAAUGGCCAUCAGUUUCAAAUGUUGAAGAGAUUUCAACUGAAAUAGAAAAAGAAGUUAUAGUUGAUAAACCCUAACCCAAACCUGCUCCUUCUGUGGUUGUAUUUGUCCAUUCUUGCACUGCUAUAAAGAAAUACCUGAGAUGGUAAUUUCUAAAGAAAAGGGUUUAAUUGGCUCAUGGUUUUUCAAGCUAUAUGGCAUCUGCUUGGCUCCUGGGGAUGCCUCAGGAAACUUACGAUCAUGGCGGAAGGGGAACGGGAAGCACACACAUCACAUGGCUGGAGUGGAGCAAGAGAGAGAAGGGUGAGGUGCCACACACAUUUAAACAACUAGAUGUCAUGGUAACUCACUCACUCCCUAUUGCCACAACACCAAGGGAGAUGGUGUUAAAUCAUGACAAACCACCCCCAUGAUCUAUUCACCUCCCACCAAGCCCCAUCUCCAACAUUGGGAAUUACAAUUCAACAUGAGAUUUGGGCAGGAACACAAAUCCAAACGAUACCAGUGGCAUAUACCAUCUGAGUAAAUAGAAACACCACUUAACUCUGAGCUCAUGGCCCAUACUGGAAAGUCAUCCUUAAUUCCUCUAUUUUACUUACUUCUGCCAUGCAAUCAAUUAGAAAAUCUUGUUUCCUCUAACUUCAAUAUCUACCCAUAAUCCAAUCCCCUCUCACCACCCUCACUGCCAUAAUGCUGUCCGGACCCCAUCAUCUCCCACUUAGACCAUAGAAGCCAUCUCCCAGUUGGUCAUCAGGGUUUCAUUCUGACGUUGCUACAGCCUGGUCUUUAUACUGCAGCCACAGCAAUCCUUGAAAAUGUAAAUUUUAAUAUAUUGCAUCUUUUCUAGAAGCCCCAAUAGUUUUCCAACAUAAUUAGAAUUAAUUCUACUAUUUUUCCUAUGGCUGACAAGGCUUUAUAAUUUAUUGAGGCCCUGGUGGUCCCUCCAACCUCUUUUCUGUUACUCGACUACAGCUUCCCUCUACUGCACCCACAGUGGCUGCUUUUCUUGAACACUUCACUCACUUUCCUGCAUCAGAAGCUUCCAGUUUGCAUUUUCCUAUGCUAAAUUGCACUUCUCCCACGUGUCAGAAUGGUUCACUCUUAUACUUUAUUUCUUAUUCAUUCGUCAAGUUCAUUACAGAGAUCUCUAAUCACUCAAAGAAAAAAGACAGAGUCUUCUUCAAAUCAUUCUCUAUCCCUUUAUUUGGCUUUAUUUUUCUCCAUAGCAUUAAUUUUACACACACACACACACACACAGACACACACACACACACACGUUGAAUAUCUCUUAUUCAUUCCAAAUGAUUGGAACCAGAAAUGUUUUGGAUUUCACAUUUUUCAAAUUUUGAAAUAUUUGCAUUAAUUUUCAUCUCUAAUCUGAAAAUCCAAAAUUCAAAAUGCUCCAGUGAGCAUUUCCUUUGAGCAUCAUGUUGCCAUUCAAAAAGUUUCAGAUUUCAGAACAUUUUGGAUUUUAGAUGUUUAAAUUAGGGAUAUUCAGCCUGUGUGUGUGUGUGUGUGUGUGUGUGUGUGUGUGUGUAAAAUCUCAUAUCACUGAGAUACCAGCUUAUGAGGAUAUGAGGAUGAAGAUGUUAUCUAGGUUGUUGACUGUUGAAGCUCACUUGCAGGCGAUAGUAUUUGGAAAUUAUUAGCACUGAGCCAUUGCUUGGUAAAUGAAUACUGCAUUUAAAAAUUUAUCUUUCUUUAGUUAUUGGCUGUUUAUCUUCAUUCACAGAAUGGUGAUCUUUUCUGUCUCCAUGAUAAGUAAGUCCCCAGUAGCUGCAGAUUUAUAGGCAUCCUUUUCAGGAACUUUAGUGAAAAGGGAGUAUUUUUUCCCAUUUAUUUAUUCCUACUUAUUUAUUCCAACUAAAGUCUCACAUUGGAGUAUCAAUGGAUUGAGUUGUGUCAUUUGCCUAAUUUCUCAUCACAAGUAAUCCUCGUGAUGAGAAAGAUGGAAUAAACUGGUUGGCUAGGCCAGAUUGUGUUUCUACCACUGGAAUUGGGAUUGGUCAAUCCCCAAGCCACAUGGAAUAAGAAUGGGGUGCUGUAUCUCCCCAAGAGAAAAUUGAGGUGUAGCUACUGUGAGGAGAUCUUGAAUCUGUGAGAUAUAAAACUUAAACAAUUUAGGGAGAGCAUCAUUAAGAAAAUGAAUAUAAAACUACAAAUAUGAUAUUGAUUAUAGGGCAGAGGAAAUGGCUUGCAUGUGUAACAGGCUCUGGAAAUUUAACUCUAUAGUGUCAUGGUACGUCUGUCUCUGGAAAGGGAAAAAGAAGAAACAGAUGUGCCUUCAAAGGGACUGAGAAGGAAAAGAAUAUAUGGACUAGCCCAGUGGAGUACAGGUGAGGAGGGCUUAAUUAGAGACAUGGAGAAGGAUAACCAUCAUUUAGACCUGACUAAGCUACCCUCUCUUCAGCUGAACACACUUCCUGCUCAAUGCAAGAAUUUGCAGAGCGAUUUUCAGCUAGGAAGAGAGAAAAGAGGAAUUUGGUCUUAAGCUUUCUGUUCUUACCAUUGUCUGCAACUUGCUCUGAAGAGACUUGUGGAAAGAACAGCUGUGUGUCCCCAGUACAGCUAAUCCUUUUGGAAAAAAAGUUACAUAACAUAAAUGUGUUUAGUUUUAUCCUCUUCUUCAUAAUUUAAAACAUCCCACAGAAUGCCAAGUUUGGGCGGGGUGUGAAUAUUAAUGACUGAAUCCUGCACUAUACAUCCAGCAUCUCAACAUAAUUAGAAUCAAUUCCAUUAUUUUCCCUAUGGCUGACAAAGCUCCAUAAUAUACUCUGGUCCUUGUAAUCCAGACUUCUUGUGCUGGGGAGGCCGACCCAACUGCCCUGGGAACUGUGGAGCUAAACAUGUUGACAGUGACACAGAUGAACUCAGCCCUCAGAGUCAGAGUAGUUCUGUUCUUGUCAGUUCUUCAAGGGUUGCCUCAGUGCAUGUGUGUAAAAGUCAGUGAAUAUCAUCCCAUGGAGGUCAAGUGAGUCUGCCAAGGUAUCCUUUCUAGGUAUCUAGGGAGGGGGACAAAGAAAGGAACAUGUUUAGGCCAAGUAGGACAGCUGUCCUGUGGACUUUGGCCCCUUGCAAUAUUGCCUAGUAGAAAGCAUCUUUUGAAUUUGAAGUGUUUUUCUGAGCUUUCUGGGAUUAUGGACUCUAGGGUCACAGAACCAUGAAAGAGCUCAGAGGUAAUCUGGGUUAAUGUCCUUUUGUGUAACCAAAGGACAAACUGAGAUAUCAUAACAGUGAUCUUACAUAUAAAGUGUUUACUCUGUGCCAGGCAAUGUGCUUUGUGCUUUUCAUAAACUAUUUCAAAUCCUCAAAGCAAUCCUCCACCCAAGUAGAUAUUAUAACCCCACUGUACAGCAGAAAGACAAACAAAACAUAAGCUUUGAAGGGACAAGGAGAGUAAAUAGCAGAACACAACUUUCAACCCCUUAUCUAUCUAACCUGAAAGCUCACGAUUUUCAUAGAUAGAAGAACCUUCUUAAUAAAAUAUUUUUAUUACUAUAAUUGUCUUUAAUGUUUGUAAUUAGUGAGUACUUGCUAUGUGCCAGACACUGUGCUUAACACUGUGUGUGUGUGUGUGUGUGUGCGCGCGCGCAUGUGCACAGAUUUUUCUGAAAGCAUUGGUAAUUUCCCCAAGGUCAUUCAUUGAUAUUUGAUAUUUGAACCCAGAUCUUUCUGACUCCUGUGGCGAGAUAUUAAAGGCCUUGCAAAUGCUCACUCAUAGGUGUUGAGGUUCCCAGUGUUCCCUGUGACUUGGUGACUUGGACAGUUGGCUCUUCCAUGGUCAGCAGCCUGGCAGCCAGGGCUACAGGAUUUAUGACAAGGUAGCUAAAUAGGGAAAGCCUUUCCAGAGGACAAUUUUACACUUGCCCGAUGAUUCCAAAGUAGUUCACUCUGAACUGGACCAGUGGGUCCCUCAAACACUCUAGCCCACAGCUACACGUCAUGACUGUGCUUGCUCCACCAUGUGCAGUAACCACAGCCCUUGGGUGGAUGUGUGGCUGAUCCCAUGAGCUGGCUUCCCUUUCACUGUCCUGAUUGUUAGCUCUUCUGUGGUGACCAAAGAACCGACUGCCUCAGCAUUUAGAUGUGAAGGUGCACAUUAGAGUCCCACACGUCCUGGCCGAGGAACGCACAGCUCCGUCAGUUUUGUACUUCAUGUUCCUCCAGUGCAAGCCCACAAUGAGGGCAGCAUGGGGCUUCCUGGAAGUCCUGGGUAGGAGGAGCCGAUACAUAAAACCCCAGAGAGAAACGUGACAUGGUUUGAAGUACAGAAUCUUGGCCAAGGCAUUUUCAGUAACUUCCCUCCAAAGAGGUGGUUUGAGAUAAAAAUGGUAUCCCACUUGAGAAACCCUUGUGUUGGUCUGGUGAGGGCAAAAGUCCAGACAUUCCAGAAGUUUGUGGAAGAAAAACUAGAUUUUCAGUUCCUUGAGGCUUGGGUUUAAAUUCUCAUUUCAAAAGAAUCUAAGAUGAAAGGACUCCACCAACUAAUUUUAGAGCAAGCUCUUUUAUCCCCUUGAUUGACUCAAACAGGGAAGGGAGAGAGAAGAUUGGGAAAAGAAUUGAGAUCUUUACUUUAAAUCCAACUGGGCCCAUGAAGCCAGCUCAUGCUAUGAUUUCAUCCUUCACAUUCUGGGUAAAACACCUUGUGACGGCUACUGUGGAGUCAUUUUGCCAACAUGUAUAAGAACAGAGAUCCUCCUGGAUGUGCCUGGGUAAUUAAUUAAUUAACUGGGAGAUCGUGUGAAAACCAUCUCUAGACCUCAGUUUCUUCAUCUCUAGAAUUGGAAGAUGGAAUCAGAGAACGUAAAAUGGAAAAGGGUUGGAAAAAAAAUCAUGUAGUUCCCAAACCCUAAAAAGCAGAGGUAUGUGAAGGUAUCUAUAUAAAGUCAGAUAACUAGUUAGUGACAGAAGCAGGACGAGCACUUUGGUGUUCUGAACCCAAGUUCACUUCUUUUGCUUUUCUCUUUAGGUGAAACAGCUUCAACAAAUAUUUAUUUAAUGUAUACUCUAUUAUUGGAAGAAUAUAUUUAAUAAUGUCACAACCACAAAAAGCUUGAAAAUCUGAACUCUGAAGCACUUUGCAGGUGAAAGCUGAAUUUGCUACAAGCCAGGACAGCAUGAGAGUGAGGAUGCCUUCCUAUCCUUUGGGAGGGCUGGCUCUGGCAAACUCAGCCACUGCCUUGGGAGGAACCAGGAAAGAAAGACUCAGGCAACUGAUGCAGGAAAGAACUGCUGAGAGAUGGUCCUCUAACACCUGACACUGCUGUAUUGAGGAUGGAAAGAAACACAAUCCCACCCCGGCCUCCCUUUCCUGACUUCUUUGGUUAUCUUUAUCUCUUUAGAGCAUAGAGUCUGGGUCCUCCAGAGAUGACAGAGGAAAAGAUGUUUCCAAAGGAUUAGAGAACAUCGAAACAGAGAAUCAAUGAGAGGAAAGUGUCUCUUCAUUUGUUUUCCCCGACCUCUCACCUUCCAUUAUAAGCUGGAAACCUGGUCAGCAAACUCCCCUUAACAACCUCCCACAGUGCUCCCAAAUGCACAUACAUUGUCCUGAUUCCUCCAGGCUUCUGCCUUUUCCCCGCAUGAUAUACACCACUGCCUCCACUAUUGAAUUUUAUUCUGUUCCUUACAAUAGCUCUCGUGUAUCUUAGUCUAAGCUGCUCUCAUUACCUGGAGAGUCUCAUUCCCUCUGCCUAGAAUACUCACCUUCCACUGAGCCCUUGCCCCCAGCUACCACCACCAUGCAACCAUCUACACAUCACUGUAUCCAGAAAGUCUUCACAGCCCCUGAAUGGCAUCAGGACUCCUCUGAUCUGCAGGGCACUGUUGUGGUCAUCUCUAAUAGAACUCAUACACUGUAUUGCUAUUUAUCUUACUCACUUUCUCCUCGAUAUACUGUAAGUUCAAUGAUUUCAAGGAGCAAUGUAUGUUCGGUUCAACAUUUUGUUUCCAGACCUUAGUGUGGUUCUUGACACAGCCUCCCUGCCCCUUGUUAAAUAUUUAGUGCAUAAAUAACAAUACCUAACAUUUAUUGAACACAUAUUAUAGGACCACCACUGUUUAAGGGCUUUAAAGAUAUUGUUAAUUCUUUAAACAAUUUCUAAAGAAAAUGCCAUUGUUAUCUCCAUUUAAUAGAGGAGAAACUUUGGGUUAAGGGUGUUAGAGAAUUUACUUGAAGCUACAUGAUAACUUUGUAGUGGAGAAGGGAAUGGAAAGCGCGAAUGCCUUGAGAACCCAAGCUCUGACUCACUUUGUUGACUGUUACAAACCCACAGCUCUUACCCACUGUGUUUAUUUUCCCCAUGAACUCUGUGACUUCCCUGGGAUUUGGUACAAAGGGAAUAUUGCACUAGAAGCAGAUUCCUUUCAGCACCAACAUGCUGUCUUUGUGAGACUUGAUGUUUGGGUAUGGGGUGGAAUGGGAGUAGAAACAGAUGUCUCUUAAGCAUCUUCUUAUUGACAGCUAUGUGCAUGAUGUCUCAGCUCCCAGGCUUCCACUUUAGCAGAGAAGCUUCCCCAUUCCAGUUCUGAUGAAUUCUGUGAAGAACAAAAUGUUACCAAGGCUGGCCCAAUGAAUAGUUUGCCUAGCAGUUUCUGGCAGUUAACAACACACCCUGUCAUAUUCAUGAGCAUCCACCCCAAAGAAUAACCCAGUUGCUUUUAUGGUAUUUGUGAGGGUAGAAGUUUGGGUCAAAUGGGGUAAUCAUAUUUCAUAAGAGAUCCAAUGAGUUUUAGGCUUUUAAACACUAGCCUCUUUUCCUUAAGGAAUUGUUGAAGGUUUUCCCCCAUUUUAUUCCUAUUUGACCACUCCUUCCCCAUUCACCUGGACAAGAUUUUGAUGGCAAAGAGGAUAUUUUAUACAAGCCCAGAAACAAUAGCUUUAAAGGAGAUUGAAGCCAUCAGCCCCGAAAAGCAACACGCAUGUCCUAAAGAAGUAGACUUCAUGGAGUUCAGACAAAUCUGCUUGGGUGGAUGUGGUAACGUUGGUUUUUACUGUCUCUAUUUCUCCAGAGCACUUUCCCAUUCUCAUUCUUCCGCUCAGCACACUUCAGGGAGAUGCACUAACUCCUUUUGCACUUCAUGGCCUGGUAUCCGUCAAUUUCUGGGUGCCACCAAAAUCAUAUGUACACAAGAACUCAUUCACUCAACACAUAUUUAUGAGCAUCAAUUUCCCGUGAAGGGUGUCAGCCAAAUGGGAUGAUUCUGCAUUUAAAUACUGUGGUGGAGGAGUGGACCAAUGUUCACUAUGAAUAUAAUUACUAGUAUGUGUCCAAGGAUGAAUUCCUAAAAUUAAGUCAUAGAUUCCACUUUUGAGAUUUACAUUGUUUCUUUUAAUUAUGUCAGACUCUGUGGUAUGUAGGUGAGCCAGCUUGGAUUGGGUCAGACACAAGGAUACAAACUUUUUUUGUUAUUGUUUUGUUAGUGAUGGAGUCUUGCUCUGUUGCCCAGGCUAGAGUGCAGCAGCUUAAACACAGCUCACUGCAGCCUCAACUUCCUGGGCUCAAGUGAUCCUCCCACUUCAACCUCCUUGUAGCUGUGACUAUGGGCACUCUCCACCACAUCUGGCUAUCUUUUUUUUUUUUUUUUUUUUUUUUCAUUUUUUGAAGAGACAGGCUCUCGCUUUGUUGCCCAGGCUGGUCUCCAACUCCUGGGCACAAGUGAUCCUCCCACCACAGCCUCCCAAAAUGCUGGGAUUACAGGCAUGAGCCACUGCACUUGGCCUAAACAUGUUUCUUUUUACCAGUAAUAUUAUUCCUCAGUGUUAAGAUAAUUUAUAUUUGAAACCAUAUUUUAACUGAAGAACAAACUAUUAGCGAUUAUUUAUAUCUCAACAUAAGUAAGCAUAUUUGAUAAGCUAAAAUGGAAACAAGGGUAAGUCUCUUUUAAGAGGAGGGACAAAGAAUAUCUUAAGACUAGGAUCCUGGUAUUUGAAGUAGAAUUUAGAAAAAAUGACCUUAAGCACCUCUGUACUGUCGCAAAGAAAUGAUAGGGUGGGGGGAAGAAAGAUGUUGAGAGAGAUGCAUAGAGAGAAGAGGAAUGUCAGAGUUUUGUCUCACAAAUAUAUCCCACAGUUUUACCUUCAAACCAAUUGCAUGAGUUUCACAAGAGUAAAUAGACUCCCUUAGAAGUGUGUUACAGACAAGAGAAUCAACAAGUUCAAUAUGGCUCUCAGAGAUAAAAAAAUAUUUUUAAAAGUCCAGAAAAACAGAUGUGCCUCAGUAUAAGAAAUAUCUUUUUAGGUGUCAGAUAUGCCCCAAAGUAGAAUAGAUGACCUGGAAAUGUAGUGAGUUUCCGGUCCCUGGAAGUGUACAAACAGAGGUUGGAUGACCAUUUGGUGGAGAUGUUUUCACAUGAGCUCCAGCAUUAGUCACACUUUGAGACUAAAAUAAAAAAUAAAUAGAAAUGAACAAAUCCUGUGUCGUAUACUUAGGACCGUACUUUACUUUACUACAAGUAACACAAUACAACUUAGAAAAAUGAGGGUUAUUUGUUGAAUAUUUCAUGAAGUCCAAAGUUAGGUAGUACAGGGUGGUAAAUUGGCUCUUCAAUGCAACCAUGGACUAGAGAAAUGUAUAAUUGUUUUACUCUGCUGUCAUUAUUAUUUAGACCUUGUUCUCAUGCUCCUAACAAUGAUAAAGUUAACAAUGAUAAUAAUGGUAAUAAUAAUAUGCUAAUAAUGUUAACACUUGUAGAGCUAACCAAGCACCAAGAAUUUGUGUAAUCACUUUUACGUAAUUAAUGCAUUUACUCAUUACAAGAUAGCUGUAAUAAGACAGACCUCAUGUCUAUGUUCCAGUAAACAAAAAAAGGUAGGUGUUUGUGAGAGAGACUAAAAAGGCUAAGGGAGGGUCCUUUUUAUCAGGAUAAUACACAAGUUUUUAGAAGCUCACCAAAGAGAAGUCUGCUUUUGUUUCUUUGGACAGAAGUAUAUCACAUGACCAUCCUUAGCUAGGAGGUGGACAAGGGAAAAGGAAUCAUGGAUGGGGACUGGGUCAACCCAAAAACGGGUUUUGGCAUAUGAGUUAAUCCUUUUCACAACCAUAAUGUCAUUGAUCCUUUCAACAAUUCUACAUACUAGAUGCCCCAAACAAAACAAAACAAAACAAAACAAAACCAACAGUGAGGAACACAGAGUUUUGAGUAGCCAGUUAUUUAGGUAUUAACUUCCAAAGUUGACAUGUGGACCUGCCUACAGUGAUUUCAGAAAUCAUACUUCUAUGCUUGUCACUACUACACAAGGCUAUCUCCCUAGAUUGGUUUUAAUGUUCCCCCUUCCCUGAAACAUGAUAACUGAGAUGUGCUAGUCACCUUGAAAUAGAAGACCAAGUAAAAUUACACAGUGGAAGCCCAGGGUCAGUUUUUUUCCUGUAAUGGCUUUCCAUGAAUUUGCUGGAUACAGUAAAUGUCUAACGAGGUGAAUGCUCAAUGCCACUUAAAAAGGCCUAAACUCAGGCUGGCACCAGAAUGAAGAGCACUGUUCCUGCCACCACUGAGCAAGGCACAGAUUCUCUGGAAGGAAAGUCGUUCUCUGGAAAUAGGUUAGAUCCUUUCAAUAGCAUGUUGCUCAUAUCAGGUCACAAGAGUAUCAGUGAUGCAGCUUCAGAUUAAUGUCAUCUGCAGCAGUUCAGUGACCUGAGGAGGAUGCUCUUUCCUAGGUUGUUUCAUCUGACCUUCCAAGAGAGAUAUAAGCACUAGGAAAAUCUGGAUCACUGUAUGAUGGAGCCAUUUCCUUUUUGGCAGAGGCAGAGAUAGCAGCCAGGCUAUUCCUGUGAGAUCUGUAGGUUAAAAGACUAAGAGACUUUGAUGACUGCCCAAAAUAUCUGCUGUGAUCCUAGAACUACCUCUGCCCAUGUGGAGGCAGCAUAGCACAGGCAUAAGUACAGGCUGAGUUGGAUUUGGAUUCCAGUCCUCCACUCCCACACCUUAGCAAUGCUACCUUAACCUUCAAAACUUACAUGAUUGUUCUGAGAAUUAAAUAAGCUGACAUCUUGCAAGCACUCAACAAGGUGGGUGUUUGGCACAAAAGGAAUAGUCCAUAGCUGUUGGUUGCUAUUCAUUAUUAUUACUGCUGUUAUUCUUGCUGUUGGUUAUAUUAUUAUUAUUAUUAUUUUAAAGAGUAAGUUUGAGUUUCUCAACAUUUAGAGGACAAAACACUGGAAAAAUCCCAGAUAUCUCCAAAGCAAACUUGAGGUCCAUGAAUACGGAUUGGAGUUCAGACAUCUAAAUCAGUACUUAGUCAUUACAAUUUGAAGCUGGAAGUCUGUCUUCAGACAAUUUCAGAGCAGGCUAGUAGACCUAUGAAUGCUGAUUCAGAAUGUAAAAGAUCUUUACAAAUCAAUCAUAUGUGGCUAAGGUGAACCAGUAGUGGGAGAAACACCUAGAGCGAGGCACCAGUGUCUCAAAAAAUCAACCCCUAGGUCUGUCCUGUGUCUUUCUUAGAUAAAGCAGUAGCUUCUACUCAGAGGAAUGACAAUAUAAACCACUAACAUUUUUUUGAACACUCAGACACUUACUUUGUGCCCAGAUGACAUUCUAAACCUACAUGUAUUAGCACACUUAAGCCACACAGUUCCUGGAGGUAGGUUCUAUUAUCUUCUCCAUCAUAAAGUUAAGGAGACUGAGGUAGACAGAAGUUGAACAACUGGUCCAAGGGUACUGAGCCUGUGAGCGGCAACUCUGGGCUCUGGACUCAUGUAAGGACACUAGAAAUGGAUCCCUUCCCCCUGCUUUACUGCCUUCUAAAGAGAGGAGGAGAAGCGGGCUUACAGGAGCUGCCCCUGACCAUUACUUGCUCUCUUACUCACUUCUCUCCAGUGAUGUUGAGUUCUCUUUCUUUCCUGGACCCAUGGAACUUACUCCCAUUUGCAUUUUCUGUUUUGUCUUGCUUAAAAUGCAUUCAGAGUUCCCUCAGAGAGAGAGAAUGACUCCUCAGAAGGUAUCAUUUAUCACAGAAUCUGAAAUUUAAACAUAUAACAAAAACACAACAAAACAAAAUCCUAUAUAUUCUAUAUUCUAGUAGUAUAUUAUACUUGUCAUUAAAUUGGAUUAAAUUUUCAGUUCUCAACCCCCUCCUCCAUCUCCCAAAGAAAGAUUAAAAAUCAGCCAUCAGAGUCACUUAGGUUAUCCAUUCAUCUUGGUUUGCCCAGGACAAUCCCAGUUUGUGCCAGUUUUCCUGGUGUAAUUAUUGAGAAUCCUGUUUCACUUUAAAAGUGUCUCAGUUUAGAAAAUAAAUUAUAUGGCAGCCUGUUCGUAACGGGAAUUUCUAUUUGCCAGUUAUCUGUUUACUAAGCAGGGUAUCUUACUUAGGUGCAAUUCUUUCCAGAAGCAGACAGGGAAAGGAGGCUGUACCUACUGAGAUCCAAGCCUUGACAACUAGAUCAUAAGUCUAGUUGUCCCUGUCCUUAGGUGACUAGAAAAUCUUCCCAGCUCUGACUCUUCUCCCCACCAUCUGCACCAUUUAAUCUCAACUCCUGUAUCAGUUACUACCUCUAUGAUAGAGUUGGUAAUGUUUGUUCGAUGACAUUUUUCUUUUUUGCAUAUAUUUCUUAAUUCCAUAAAGAGAAACACGAUUAAUAGCUAAGUUUUUUAUUUUAUUUCUCAUGGUGUCUAGCACAAGGCUAUGCAUUAACUAGGGACACUAAAUGUUCAUAGAAAAGAUAAAGUACAAGAAGAAGAGAGAGAUGUAUGAAAUAUAAAAGCAAAGAAAGAAGAAAAGAAGGGAGGCAGGAAGGAAAGGAGAGAAAGAGGGAGGAAAGAAGGCAAAAAAAAAAAAAAAGAAAGAAAGAAAGAAAAAGGAAGGAGGAGGGAAAGCAAAUUUGGUAUAUAUUUCCUACAACACCAAGACUAAAUGGAAGCCAGUUGGUCCCUUACAACAAUGGGCUUGUUUCAACCAAGGCAAGCACAUGAAUCUUCCCUUGGCCAUUCUCUGUGCUACUGUGAGCAAUGUGCAUUUCUAAACUGAAGAGUUGCAGUCAGGCUGGACUGUAAUUGGGUUCAUCUCAUAUUAGCUACUUAAGAGAAGCUACGUGCCUUUCUACUUGGACAAUCUUAGAAGCCUUCUAAAUAAAUAAAGGAUGAAAGGCAAUUUGUUUAAAAAUAAGGAGUGCUUUCACCAGAGGCUGCUUUCUUCAAGAGUACUAAGUUUCUUCACAAACAACUACAAUACGGAGGUUCUUUUCUAAAUGAAUAACCUUAUUACUUCCAGAGCCCAAUCCUUUUUUUUUUUUUUUUUUUUUUUACUGGUUUAACAGAAAUCUAAUGAUUUACCAUCUCUUUAUAACUUUGAUUUGCAAAUAAAAUAAGUGCUUAUCAGAUAAAAAUUGUUGCUUCCACGAUGGUCUCAAGUUAAGCAUCUCCUAUUAAAAAAUACUUUCUCAAAUAUUGAUGCUUUGUGUUUAUUACAACAUUCUGCAAUAACUUGGCAAAACACAAAAUUUUAUAAUUUUAAUCAUUUUCUCUAUACUAUGUAUAAGAAAUGAACUAAGAUUUAAGAAAGUAUAAUCACUUAAAUAAUUAUUAUUUCUCUUUACCUUUAAUUCACUAAUGAAAUCACUUUUUCACUUAACUCUGAUUGUAUUUAUCCAUUCAUGAAUACAUGAAUUUGCAGUUAUUACUUAAUGAAUAACUACUGUAUGCAAAUGACAGUAUAUGAGACUUGCAAAACUAAAUAAAAAAACAAAAUUCAACAAUGCUUUAUGAUUAAACCAGGAAGUAGGGAUGGAAGCGUGCUUCUUCAACCUGAUUUACAAAAAGCUCACAACUAAUCACGUAUAUAAUGGUGAAAGAAUGGGUUCUUUCCCUCUAAGGUCAGGAAGAAGAACAGGUUAUUUUCUCUUGCCACUUUUAGUCAAUAUUGGGAUGGAGGUUCUAAUGAGAGCAAUUAAGCAAGUAAAUUAAAUAAGGAACAUCCAGACUAGAAAGGAAGAAAUAGUACUAUUUCUAUUUGCAGAUGGCACGAUCCUGUAUUUGGAAAAUCCCAACAAAUCCACUAAAAAAGCUAUUGGAACUAAUAAAUGAGUUCAUCAAGGUUGCAAGCUACAAAAUCAAUGGGCAAAAAUCUAUUGUAUUUUUAUAUACUUAGAAUAAAUGAUACAAAAAUAAAAUUAGCAAAAAAUUCAAUUUACAAUAGCAUCAAAAAGAAUCCAGUAUGUAAAAAUUAAUGCAGCAAGAUAAGUGCAAAAUAUAUACUCUGAAUACAAAAAAACCACUGUUGAAAGAAAUUAUAGACAACUUAAAUAAUUGAAAAGGCAUCCAAUGUUCAUGACUUUAAAAACUGAAUAUUGUUGAGAUGACAAUACCCCCAAUGUGGUCUACAGAUUCAGUGCAGGCCUUAUUAGAGUCUCAGCUGAUUUCUUCAGAUAAAUUGAUGAGUUGAUUCUAAAAUUCAUAUGGAAUUGCAAAAGGCCCAGAAUAGACAAAAACAAUCUUGAAAAAAACUACAGAGUAUCACACUUCUUGAUUUCAAAACUUACUACAAAACAAUGGCAGUCAAUACAAUGUGUUACUGUACAAGUAAAGAUCAAUGGGAUUGAAUUGAGAGUCCAGAACAAAGCCAUGUGUCCAUGGUUAAUUGAUUUUCAACAAUUGAUGCAAGACCAUUCAACGGGGAAAGAACACUAUUUUCAACUGAUUAUCCAGUUGCUGGUGGGACAUCUGGAUAGCUGCUUGCAAAAGAAUGAAGUUAGACCCUACUUCACACCAAUCAAACUUUUUAAAUGUGGCUUGGAAAUAGUUUAUCUAUUCCUGAAUGCAGGAGACAUUAACACAAGUACACCUGCAUCCACACAGACAUAAACACACUAUUUCUGUUUAUGAAAUAGUAUGAAAGCCCUUAAAAUAAAGGCUUUAGAGCCAGUGACUUACCCCUCAAGGAACGUGUAGUCUAGUCAAGCAGAGAAAGAAGAAAUCCACCAGUUCAACAUUCUAUAAUCAAUAACAUAUGGCCAUUAUGUGGAUCAAAAUGAGAGCACUAAUCUAGACUAGGGUGGGUCAGGGAAUGAUCCUCUAAGGAUCCAUGCUUGAGAUGACCAUUGACAAAUGGAUGGGUUCGUGAUGGUCAGGAGGGUGAAGGAUGAACUGUGUGAUCCAUACAUUUAUGGAACGUUCCAUACAUUUAUGCAACGACUUUAAGUUGGUUUGGCUUUCAAGGGCAAUGUAUCUUGAGGUAUGAAAGACUUUGAAGAAAGAGUGGUAGACCAAGGACAAAACAUGAAGCCCAAAGUAAUGUUGAAACACUUUUAGGCUGGGUGCGGUGGCUCACGCCUGUAAUCCCAGCACUUUGGGAGGCCGAGGUGGGUGGAUCACAAGGUCAGGAGAUCGAGACCAUCCUGGUUAACACGGUGAAACCCUGUCUCUACUAAAAGGCCAAAAAAUUAGCCGGGCAUGGUGGUGGGCGCCUGUAAUCCCAGCUACUCGGGAGGCGGAGGCAGGAGAAAGGCAUGUACCGGGGAGGUGGAGCUUGCAGUGAGCUGAGAUAGCGCCAUUAUACUCGGGCCUGGGCGAAAGACCGAGACUCCAUCUCAAAAAAAAAAAAAAAAAAAUAAGAAACGCUUUUUAAAUAAUCACAGCAAGAUGCAAAGGAAAGAAUCCAUAUACAUGGGUUGUAAUAUCAGAUGGUUUUCUAAUCAAACAUGAAUCUUUAGGAACUCUUAACUUCAAUGUUCUUAUCUCUAAAGUACUUCUUAACUUCAAUGUUCUUAUCUCUAAAGUAGUACUUGUUCUAAAAUUUAUUUAGCUUUAAAUUUUAGAAUCUUGCCUAUUUGCAGACAGAUCUCUAGAGCAGACCUUUAAAAUAGAAAAGUGUAUCUGUGGAAAGCACGCCAUUAAAAACAAAAACAACCACUGCAACAAAAAUGCUCCUUUACUUAUAAAACGAGCCAAACAAGAACACAGAAUGAUUUAAAAACAAAUCUAAGUCAUAAUUCCAAGAAACAUAGUUUGUUCUUUUUCCUUCUCUUCCCACUCCGUAGGACACUUUUCCAAGCCUUUUAGCCUUUGAUGCAGAACAAGCAAGAGGACUCUACUCUCAUAAUAACUGUAAUCCUCUGCUUCAGGCACCAGACACUAACACUCCGCCAGACCUUCACCACCCCGUGAAGCCAAGCACCAAACCACAAGCAGAAUGGCUUGCAGGGUAGACAGCAUAUUGCCCUGAUGUUAGACAUGGAACUGCUAGGUCAGCUCCUAUAUUUAGACAGCUGCUUCACCAUUGGAAAAAUUACUCUCUCUUUUUCAAUCUAAAAACACACAUAACUAUAUAUAUAUGCAAAUGUAUACAUGCACACAUACACACACACACACACACACACACCAUCCUGAGGGCUAGCUAAUUCCUAAAGAGAGUGAACAACUUGUCUGUGUGUGCACCCUUCAUAUCAGACCAGCCAAUCCAAUAAACCAUGUACGUAACCACCUCUUUUAUCAAGUUUUUACACCCCAGGCCACUAUUCCCCUGUAUUAAUCACCCUCAGGUCAGGUCAUUGUCAAUUAGGGACAACCUCUAUGCCCUAGAGCCUGUCAAAAAUCUUCAAAUUAGCCAGUCUAUAACCUGCUUAUCCUGUCUUGCCCUUUUCUUCUUGGAGAAAUCACAAUAAAGACUGGUUGCAAAUUCACCUCACCCCCUCUGCUUUCUGACCAACUCUGGUGUUUCUCUGUAUGGCCCUCCCAUUACCUGGAUUGUCCCUUCUUUUGGGAUCUGUAAGUCUAAUUGUAUUUUCAGAAAUAGUUAUUUCCUGACCUAUUGGCUUUUCCAUACCUAAAUAGUAAUAAAACCUAUACUUUAAAACACGUACAGACACACAUAUGUACAUUAAUGGCUAACAAAAUAGUUACCUUUCCAUUUAUAGUAUCUAGUAAAAGAUGAACCUGAUUUCAAAUCCCACAUUCUAAUUUUGGUUUAAUUCUUUUGGGAAAAUGUAGGACUCAAUUUCAUUCAUUGUUAUAAAAAUAGGACAAUAGAAACUUGCAGGUAAUUCUAAGAAAAAAUGCAUUUAUGUAUGCGUGUGUGUAUGUGUGUGUUUAGAAGGAGGAAGAAAAAGAAACUUCUUAUAAAGUAUAGCUACAUUAAAGUCAGUGUGUAAAGAAGAAAACCUUGCAUUAUCAAUGCUACCCUUGAAAAUUACUUAGGAAGCAGCCUAAUGAUUUUCUAUGUGCCAUUUUUCAGUGAGUCCAGUAAAACAAUCUUUUUAACCAACAUUGGAAAUUUGUUCUUGUGUUGAGGGGCCAGAUGAAAUUUUGGCUUGGCCAGGUGCGGUCGCUCACGACUGUAAUCCCAGCACUUUGGGAAGCUGAGAUGGGCUGAUCACCUGAGGUCAGGAGUUCGAGACCAUCCUGGCCAAUAUGGUGAAACCCCAUCUCGUCUAAAAACACAAAAGUUAGCAGAGCAUGGUGGCAGGCGCCUGUAGUCCCAGCUACUCGGGAGGUUGAGGCAGGAGAAUUCCUUGAACCCGGGAGGUGGAGGGUGCAGUGAGCUGAGAUAGUGCCUCUGCACUCCAGCCUGGGCAACAGAGUGAGACUCCAUCUCAAAAAAAAAAAAAAAAGUUCAAAGAAUUCUCUAAUGCCCCCUCAUUGCCACCCCAAAUGUUUUCUGUUAUUUGCAUGUUCUAUUAGUAUGUUCUUCAAAUGUUACAAUUAAUGAACCAAUAGCAAUACAUUAUUAUCAACUAAAGCCCAUAGUUCACAAUAGAUUCACUCUUUGUGUUGUACAUUUUAUGGGUUUUGACAAAUCACAGUUUUUCCUUUUCCUGAAUGUUAUAUAGUUAAAAUUAUGCAGUAUGUAGCCUUUUCAGAUUGGCUUCUUUCAGUUAGAAAUAUGCAUUUAAGGUUCUUUCAUAUCUUUUCAUGACUUUAUAGUUUAUUCCUUUUUGUUGCUGAAUAAUAUUGCAUUGUAUAGAUAUACCACAGUUUGUUUAUUCAUUAACCUAUUGAAAAACAUCUUGGUUAAAGCUAUUAUAAACAUUCUUGUGCAGUUUUUGUAUUGAUAUAAGUUUUCAACUCAUUAGGUAUAUACUAAGGAGUGUAGUUAUUGUGUUUAUGGUGUCUUCGUCCAUUUGGGCUGCUAUAACAAAAAUAGUAUAAAGUGGUUGGUUCAAACAACAUUAUUUCUCACAGUUAUGGAGGCUGAGAAGUCUGAGAUCAAGGAACCAGCAGAUUUGGUGCCUGGUGAAGACCUGCUUCCUAGUUCAUAGGUGGCUGCCUUCUCCCUGAGUUCUCACAUGGCAGAAAUGGCACUGGAGAUUUCUGGAUUCCUUGUAUAAGGGCACUAAUCCCCUUUAUAAGGGCUCCACCUUGAUGACCAAAUCACCUCCCAAAGGCCUUACUGUCAAAUGCCAUCACAUUGGGAAUUAGGUUUCAACAUAUAAAUUUGGUGGAGAUGUAAACAUUCAGUCUUUAGUACGUGGUAAGAGUACUUUUAGCUUUAUAACAAACUGCCAAAUUAUCUUCCAUUUUUCAUGUGACACUUUUCAUUUUUAUAAGCAAUGAAUGAUAGUUCCUGUUGCUCUACAACCUCACCAGCAUUUGGUAUUGCCACUGUUUUGAAUUUUAACCUUUCUAAUAAGUGCCUAGUGGCAUCUCAUUAUUGUUUUAUUUUCAGUUCCCUAAUGCCAUAUGAUAUUGAAUAUCUUUUCAAAUGCUUAUUUGCCCUCUCUAUAUCUUCUUUUAUGAGGAAUAUAUUCAGAUUAUUUUGCUCUUUUUAAAAUUGGAUUAUUUGUUUUCUCACUUUUUUUUUUAGGAUUUUUUGGUGUAUUUUGGAUAUAAGUUCUUUGUCAAAUCUAUGUUUUGCAAAUGUUUUCUUCCUAUCUGUGGCUUGCCUUUUUAUUCUCAACUUUCUUCACCAUUUACAGUAUUUUUAAUUAGGAUAUUCAUCAUAUAACAUAAAAUUCACUAUUGAAAAGUCUACAGUUCAGGAUUUUUCAGAUAUUCACUCUUUUGUGCAACUACCACAUCUGUCUAAUUCCAGGACAUUUUUAUCACUCCAUACCUACUAAUAGUUAGUUCCAAUACCCUUCCCCUCUUCCCUGGAAACCACUAAUUUAGUUUUUGUCUCUAUUGAUGUUCCUACUCUUCAAUUUUCAUGCCAAUAAAAUUGUACAAUAUGUGGCCUUUGUUUCUGGAUUCAUUAAAUUAGUAUAAUCUUUCCAAAGUCCACUAAUGUUGUAGCAUGUAACAGGACUUAAAUAUCACUUUUUAUGGCUGAAUAGUAAAGGUUUGGGUUUUCUUUUUUUCUUUUUUUUUUUUUAACCCGUGUAAAUCCUCACAGCAUUUAUUAUUAAACUUACUCACUCAAUAUUAGCAGACUUAUAUAUAAGUCAAAAUUCUAAUAGGAGAUGAAAGAUACACUCAGAAGGAAUUCAGAAGAGAACUUAAGGUAGGCACUACUUAUAGGCAGGCUUCAGAGAACCAUAAAAUGUGUUGAAGUACCAAGAGAUUGGCAAUUUGCAAACCCCUUACAUCCUGAGGAGGUAAGAAGAAGAUAGUAUGUUACUAGAGUCCCUCGGAAAGCUAAAACCAUGAAAGAAGGGCAUCCUGGCAGAAGUUUUUAUUUUAGAGGGACACAACUGUUGCAAAAACAGCAAAAAAUACAUGGACAAAGAAAUAUUAGUGUAGAUCACCAAUCUCUUGUUGAUUGAUUUUCAUUGGUUGAAUGAAAGUGGAAGGUUGAUCAAGUCUGAUGGCUUCUGCAACUCAGAGAACAGAGGAGAAUGGAGCAGAGACUUUUUGCGGAGAAGGGGUAAAUAGGAUAACCAGCAUAAAUUAUAUUUAAUUCCUUUCCAAGUUUACCUGUUCACUGGAGACAUUGUUAAAUGAAUGAGCAGAUACAAUUUAGCACACAAAGAUCUGACUGUCUACACCCAGAAUGGUUACAUUGGCAAAAGCCAGGACUUGGUAUCACAUCUGUGUACCUACUGCUGUGUUAUUUUGAGAAACUGAUUCAUUACGCCUCUGAGCAUGAGUUGUUUCCUUCAUGAAAAAUAAUAAUAUUACCAAUGUAAUGGCUGGUUUUGCAUCUCAAUAAUUUAGUGUAUUAGACAUAUUGUAGUCACUCAAAUGGUUGCUAUGAUCAUACAAUAUUAACACUUUUCUUAAAAAAUCAGUUGAAAGUGAAUAAUUAAAUAUAACUGUAGUUAUAGAUAUUAAUUCUAAAUUUUCCUGAAAUUAAAUAAAAAGAUAUUCAAUAAAAGGCAAAAUGAUCCAAUUCUAGUCAUUAGCAAAACUCUGUUGUUUUAUUCAAUCAAUAUUUGUAUGAAAAAUUUCAACAUUAUUUCCUCCAAUACUAUUCUCCAGUUAUUGGGAGAAUCUUUCUAUCCAUCACUGCCCCAUUAAGUCAUGGUCAAAAUGAAAUUUGCCAUGACUGCAUUAUGUUUGAUCACUCUGAUUUCUGGCUUAAAGAAGACUUUCAGAAAGAAAAAGAAAUAACAUUAACAAUUCAGUUUUUGGAAAUAUUCGUUAUAUUUAACUACUGAUAAACUUUUUCUUCCUUUUCUGGUAAACAGUCCUGUUUCUGUUGGAGAAAGCCAUGCUCUAUGGGUUGAAUGUGACAUACCUGGCUCUUUUCUGCAUUCCCUCAUACAAAGAUGCAUACUUCACCCAGGUUAAUCAAAUCAAUGUACCUUAUUCUCCGAAAUUAGGAACUUUAAAUAGAUUGUUCUUAUUUAUAGUUGCCAAAAAAGACUAUUUUUCAGUGAACUGGCAGUAUAAUGUGGACUUGGGACCUUCAGCAGCCAUCUUUCCCAUUAUGUGCAAGGUAUUUGAGAAGAAAGCAAAGUGAAGGAAUGUGAAAUGAAAUAGACUAGCAAUGUAACCCGAACCUCUAGGUUUGGCCAGACUUGGCUUUCAAUUCACCAGUUUUGUAAAUAGAAGUAAUAAAUGGUUGGCCAGGAGCAGUGGCUCACGCCUGUAAUCCCAGCACUCUGGGAGGCUGAGGUGGGCGGAUCACGAGGUCAGGAGAUCUAGACCAUUCUGGCUGACACGGUGAAACCCCGUCUCUACUAAAAAAACCAAAACAAAACAAAAAAUUAGCCGGGUGUGGUGGCGAGCACCUGUAGUCCCAGGUACUCGGAAGGCUGAAGCAGGAGAAUGGCAUGAACCCGGGAGGCGGA